UACGGAGGGUGCAAGCGUUAUCCGGAUUUACUGGGCUUAAAGGGCGCGUAGGCGGGCAGGUAAGUCAGUGGUGAAAUCCUGUAGCUUAACUACAGAACUGCCAUUGAUACUAUCUGUCUUGAAUACCCUGGAGGUGAGCGGAAUAUGUCAUGUAGCGGUGAAAUGCUUAGAUAUGACAUAGAACACCUAUUGCGAAGGCAGCUUACUGCGCAUAUAUUGACGCUGAGGCACGAAAGCGUGGGGAUCAAACAGG
rnacentral:rRNA from 1 species